rnacentral:rRNA from 1 species
AUUGAACGCUGGCGGCAGGCCUAACACAUGCAAGUCGAACGAGUGGCGGACGGGUGAGUAAUGUCUGGGAAACCGCCUGAUGGAGGGGGAUAACCUCUGGAAACGGUAGAUAAUACCGCAUAACCACAGGUGUCCCCAUAUGGGAUUAGCUAGUUGGGGGGGUAACGGCACACCAAGGCGACGAUCCCUAGCUGGUCUGAGAGGAUGACCAGCCACACUGGAACUGAGACACGGUCCAGACUCCUACGGGAGGCAGCAGUGGGGAAUAUUGCACAAUGGGCGCAAGCCUGAUGCAGCCAUGCCGCGUGUAUGAAGAAGGCCUUCGGGUUGUAAAGUACUUUCAGCGGGGAGGCGUUACCCGCAGAAGAAGCACCGGCUAACUCCGUGCCAGCAGCCGCGGUAAUAC